rnacentral:ncRNA from 2 species
UAUAAAAUCUGAAGCUUUGAAAUACAUUUUUUAUUUGGGCACUUUAAAUGUAUAGAGCUAGUAGUGCAACCGACUGAUUUAUUC